rnacentral:rRNA from 1 species
AUUGAACGCUGGCGGCAGGCCUAACACAUGCAAGUCGAGCGGAUGAAGGGAGCUUGCUCCUGGAUUCAGCGGCGGACGGGUGAGUAAUGCCUAGGAAUCUGCCUGGUAGUGGGGGAUAACGUCCGGAAACGGGCGCUAAUACCGCAUACGUCCCGAGGGAGAAAGUGGGGGAUCUUCGGACCUCACGCUAUCAGAUGAGCCUAGGUCGGAUUAGCUAGUUGGUGGGGUAAAGGCCUACCAAGGCGACGAUCCGUAACUGGUCUGAGAGGAUGAUCAGUCACACUGGAACUAAGACACGGUCCAGACUCCUACGGGAGGCAGCAGUGGGGAAUAUUGGACAAUGGGCGAAAGCCUGAUCCAGCCAUGCCGCGUGUGUGAAGAAGGUCUUCGGAUUGUAAAGCACUUUAAGUUGGGAGGAAGGGCAGUAAGUUAAUACCUUGCUGUUUUGACGUUACCAACAGAAUAAGCACCGGCUAACUUCGUG